rnacentral:lncRNA from 1 species
GGGCUGUUCAUAACUCAGUUUGUUCUUAACUCCAAAGUCACAUUUACUUCUAAAGCAAAAUGAAUAAAAGCUUAAUAAAUAACAAGAGAGAUGCCUAGAUUUACUUCCAAGUUAGCUUUUCCAAAAUCCUUGGAAAUAACAUAAUUAUUUUUAAAAAACACCUGGAAAAUACUUUCAUUACUUCAAAAAAAAAAAAAAAAAAAAAAAAAACCUACUGCUUCCACACACUCCUAUUCCACUGGUGCUUUUGUUGUCGUACCCUGAAUCAAAGCAGUUUACCUGUAUUUCACACACACUGUCUGAAACUGCUUGUCCCAAGCAGGGUCGUGGCAAACUGGAGCAUCACCUGGCAACACAGGGCACAAGGCUGGAGGGGGAGGGGCCACACCCAGGAUGGGAUGCCAGCCCAUCACAAGGCACCCCGAGCAGGACUCGAACCCCAGACCCACCGGAGAGCAGGACCCGGUCAAACCCGUUGCGCCAUCGGACCUUCUCUUUAGCUGUAUUUGGUUUGGUAAAAAUUAGCCAUUUCUAUAAAUAGGUAAGAAAAUGAAAAUAUACGUAUGUAGCUUGGGGUACAAACCUAACUAGCUAAAGAUGGAUGGAUGGAGAAGCAAGUUUCAAGGCGGCCCAAUUGGCUGCGUUUUUACUGCCAUCUAUCGGCAAGACGCAUAAAUACAGGUGUCGUAAACUGCUACCAAUAGACGUCAGUGCAAAUACGAUGGGUGCCUAUUCAGCUACAAUUAUGAAUUGUAUUUGUUCAGAAAUAAAGCCCAUAAUGAGAGUUAUGGACAAUGAUUUGAGACACGAGGAAGGUUAACGUUAAGUUUUUUUUCGGUCUCUCAGCUGACUGACCGUCAGUGGUGGUCUGACGUGAUCGAUCGGUCACCGUGGAUUCUUCGAGAUGGUAUUCGGCCCCCCGGGAAGAAAGCAGUGGCUCGGACCACCUGCCUCCCAUCAGCCUAAACGGUACCUGCACCAUGGAGCUGCACCCCAAGGCCCAAGGCGUUGUCCUGCAUCAUGGGAAAGAGGAAGCACCACUUGUCCCUCCUUCUCAAACCUCAUCAGACUCUACAACUCUGUGCCAGAUUUACAGCAGCUCUGGAUUUCUCCUCACGCUGCAGCAGUGGAUGACACCACAGAGCACUGGCAGGAAUGAAGCCUGGUGGACACACGUGUCUCCACAGAAAAUGUCUGGUGGGACAUGCCCACUGCUGAACCUGAACAUCAGAGGAAAUCAGAUGCCCCUCUCUGUACUUGUCCUCCUAGGAGCACUGGGUUUUCCAAGUAGCUAUUUCAUAUACUCGGUUUCAACCCUCCUAGGCUGGUGUUCAGUGACUUUGGAACAGAUUCCUGACCACCACGACCCUGAAAAGGGCAAGCAGUUAAAAUCCUGUUCACUCAUGAUUGGAAAAUUGCAAGAUGAAUAAAGAGGAGAAAGAAUGAGAUGGUGCCCCAGCGAAACUGUCUGGAUCCUGAGUGUGUGUUUUUGCAAGAACUGUUCAACACUGACACAGUGCAC